rnacentral:rRNA from 1 species
UACGGAGGGGGCUAGCGUUGUUCGGAAUUACUGGGCGUAAAGCGCACGUAGGCGGCUUUGUAAGUUAGAGGUGAAAGCCCGGGGCUCAACUCCGGAAUUGCCUUUAAGACUGCAUCGCUAGAAUUGUGGAGAGGUAAGUGGAGUUCCGAGUGUAGAGGUGAAAUUCGUAGAUAUUCGCAAGAACACCAGUGGCGAAGGCGGCUCACUGGCCCGAUACUGACGCUGAGGCACGAAAGCGUGGGGAGCAAACAGG